CCUACGGGUGGCAGCAGUAGGGAAUAUUGCUCAAUGGGGGAAACCCUGAAGCAGCAACGCCGCGUGGAGGAUGAAGGUUUUAGGAUUGUAAACUUCUUUCGUUAGAGAAGAUUAUGACGGUAUCUAAUGAAUAAGCACCGGCUAACUCCUUGCCAGCAGCCGCGGUAAUACGGAGGGUGCAAGCGUGACUCGGAAUCACUGGGCGUAAAGAGUGCGUAGGCGGGGUAACAAGUCAGAGGGGAAAUCCUGUAGCUUAACUACAGAACUGCAUUUGAAACUGUUACUCUGGAGUGUGGGAGAGGUAGGUGGAAUUCUUGGUGUAGGGGUAAAAUCCGUAGAGAUCAGGAGGAAUA
rnacentral:rRNA from 1 species